rnacentral:lncRNA from 1 species
CAAGUAUUGUUAAUGUAUGCAUUUUGUAUUUUUCUUUUGGCUUCCCUUGUCAACUUUGUAAUAGGAUUUCUAUUGUUAUCAAGCUCAAGUUUAGAUUGAGAAUAGCUUCUCGAGGUGUUCUUAACUAACAACAAUCAUAUGGAGGAUCAUGCAACUUGACAAAGGUAAACACUGUGCAUUGCAUAACACUGCAUUACACUGUUUUCAUAAAAUGAUGACUAGUCAUCUGUUUCUUGGAUGACUAGUCAUCCUUGCUCUCCAGCUGGAUAACAAACCUUUUUGUCCUAUUCCUUUCUCUCUCUGCUGCCA